rnacentral:rRNA from 1 species
AAAAAGUUUUAUCAAAAAGUCGGGUUUAUCGAUGGUGUGCGUAUUACUCACACAUCAAGAUUCUGGCCGAAUAUUGAAAAACAAAGGUUGUUGGAACAAAUGAUAGAGUCCUAUCAUAAUCCAGCAGAAACAUAUUCGUUGCAACAGUUCGCAUUAAGAUAAUGAUAUAGUCCGACCUCUAUGGCGACAUAGAGAGUUAGAGCAAUUAUUGGAUGUUCUAACGUUCACGAUUUAAUUUAAAUUGUGAAAUAACAAGUAUGUAGAUACCCCAGUAGUCCACGCUGUAAACGAUGAAUACUAGGCAUGCGCGAGUAUCGACCCUCGUGCGAGCCGUAGCUAACGCGUUAAGUAUUCCGCCUGGGGAGUACGGUCGCAAGACUAAAACUCAAAGGAAUUGACGGGGACCCGCACAACCGGUGGAGCGUGUGGUUCAAUUCGAGACAAAGCGAAGGACCUUACCAGGUCUUGACAUGCUACCGUUUUAACCCGCUAGAAACAGUGGGCUAUCCGCAAGGAUGGUAGCACAGCUGCUGCAUGGCUGUCGUCAGCUCGUGCCGUGAGGUGUUCCCUUAAGUGGGAGAACGAGCGCAACCCCCAUCCAAUGUUACAAGUGUCAUUGGAGACCGCCCGCUCUUUGAGCGUAGAAUAAUUUCUGCGUUGAGAGAGCGGGAGGAAGGAGGGGAUGACGUCAAGUCAGCACGGCGCUUAUGACCUGGGUCACACACACCCUACAAUGGCGAACAACAAUGGGAUGCAAGCUAGCAAUGGCAAGCAAAUCCCUGAAAUUUCGCCUCAGUUCAGAUUGGGGGCUGCAACCCGCCCCCAUGAAGUCGGAAUCGGUAGUAAUCGCAGAUCAGCAGGCUGCGGUGAAUACGUUCUCGGGUCUUGUACACAGUAUUCCGCGAUAAGCGGAAUAAAUUGCGCGUCUGGCAGUAUAGAAAGCUAAUUGGUUGAAAUCCA